CUUUGUAUAUUCAUUAUAUUAUAAGAUGACGAAAAGAAAAUGUUAACAUAAUUGACAUUUAAAAAAAAAAAAGUUUUUAGUUUUUAAUCAGCAUAAUUCAUGUAGCUCAAAAACGAAUUAAAGAUCUUGGACAGGUUUUACGUUUAGUUAGUGGUAAACUCAAUAAGAUUAGUUUUUUUUCUAUAGAGAUUUCUCCAACGUCUUUUAGCCGUCAUUUUUUUUUUCCUAUGCUGACACUUUAUGAACUUAUCACCUCUCAUCAAAUAUUUUAGUUAGAAAAAAAGGUAAUGGGAAGAAAUGUGUCACUAACCACAUCCUCUCAAAUAAAAUACUCCAAAACAGAUUAACCAUGAUAAAGGAAAAAGACUAUAAAAGCGUAUCAUUAUUAUCGUAACGCUUUUGAGUUGAUUGGGUGGACAACAAAAGAUUUUGUUUGAUAAUAUUUCAUACUUCUUAGUUGGUGGCAGUGCCGUACGAAGAUUUUUGGAGGCCCGAGGCGAGUUAAAAAAAAUUUACAUGAUAUUUUUUUUUGAAAAUAUUUCUAUUUAAAUUUGAAUUAUAUAAAUUUUUUUUUUUUGAAAAAACAUAUAUAUAUAUAACACUAAAAAGUUUUGAUUUAUUACCUAAGCAUUUUCUAAAUUUAAUGCACCAGACUUUUAUAAACUAAAAACCAAACUAUAUAUUCUUAGCGUUUUGGAUUGAAAUGUUGGUCGUUGUUAAAAAGGUAAAUAUUAGCGUUUAAAUUAAAUACAAUAAACUAUAUAUUCAAAAUAUUAUAAAUUUUUAAUCAAAUUCUAUAAAUAUAUAAAAUAAAUUUUACUCAUAAUAUAUACAAAGAAAACAAAUUUGGAUCAAAUAUUUGCAGUUAAUUUGAAGUAGAAUCUUUAUAGUUUUCUAUAAAAUAUAGUAAAAUUGAUCACAAAUUAGUUAUUUUAAACAGAAGUCAAAUUUAGAAUCAAAUAAUAAUAAAAAUCUAACUAAGAGAAUACAUUAACUACCAUGUAAAUUUUUUUUUUUUGUAAUUUAGAGCCCUAAAAAUUUUACAAAAUUUGGGGGCCCUAGGCAAAUGCCUUUUUCAAUAGGCUGUAAGCGCGGCUCUGGUUGGUGGAAUCAAACCAGUACUCUAUAUAGUCUAUCAUCAACACAUGAAUGAAAAACAUGUGAAUGGUAUAUACAAAGUACUAUCAAAUCACACAAGAUCAACAAUACAAAUACUAAAAUAGAUCUACCUUUAGUUUUAAUAAUUUUUGGAACGAAGCACACCGGUAUUGUGGCCUACUAAACACUUUAAUGUAGACCUUAAAUGAAUAAUGAAUAUAUAUAGUUAAAGUCUUUUAUAAAUGUUUUCGAGAAAAAAAAUCAAAAUUCAGUAGUCUCUAGUAUUUUUUAUAGCUAAAAUAGAAUGCCUGAUAUAAAACCUGUUAAUCCUAAUACUUGGGAAAACCAGUCUUACAAUCUUGAAAGAAAUAUGAAGAAAUUUUUUUAUUUUAAAAUAAUUAGAACCUAAACUAAAAACUAUAUCGAUCAACGCCUAACAUAUAUUAUCAAUUAAACAAACCAAAACAUGUGAAAACUUUUUUUUUUUGGUGUAAGGAAGCUCAAAUAAGGAUAAGCAUUAUCGUGUCAAAUAGAGUAUAUAUCAAACGAAGGUUUGUAAAUGUUGUUUUCACGCAGGCAAAGAAAACCUGAAAGUAAUAUUUUAUCUGAGAAAUGUUGUACCAUACGAUCCAUAAUUGCUUUACAUAUCGAUAUUUUAUGAAAAUGUGCUGAAAGAACAUGUGGUGUUAUUAUCAGUAAUCUACUAUUUUAUAAAAUUAACUAGGGCUUGCCGGCUGCCACUAAAAUAAAAAACAAGUAGUGGCAGACUGCCUGCGUGGGCAUCUACGUAAGUGGGGAAAGAAAAAGAAAACUCUUUCUACGUAGCAUAUUUAAUAUCACAUGAAAUAGCUAAUACUAUAGAGUGAUUUACAUCCCGAGGCAGUUAUAUAUACGAUAUAAUGUUAUAUAUACACAUAUAUCCAGAAAAAAUGAAUGAAUACGAUAUAAUGUUAUAUAUACACAUAGGCAAAGUAGGUGGACACGUGAGUAAAAUCUAUGGCGGGCGGCCAUGACUUUUAUUCUCCACACCAAUUGUUUCACAAAACUUAUCUUAAUAUAUAGUUUAACAUUUAACUUUUUUUUUUAACUGCACAUUUAACAUUUGACACAAUCGAAAUCUAAAAAGAAAUAUAACAAAAAAGAAAGAGAUUGAGACAGCCGUAAAAAUGCGAAGUCAGAAAUACUAAAAUGAUACGAAAUAAUCUCUUAUAUUGCUUACCGACUCGCUUUCAAUCUAUUUCUCCUUUAUACCAGAACAGAACCUGAACAGUUUUCAGUAUAUAUUAAGACCAAAACCAGUUUGAAAACCAAUUGGUUUACAGCGACAAGUGAAUUAGAAUUUUGGAAAUCAAUUGGUUUUGGUCUUUCAACUUAAAACCUAAAUGGCUAAAAGUGAAUUGGUUUAAAUCUCUUAUAUAUAUACAAGAUAUGAGCUUGUUGCGUUGCAGCGGAUUUUGUUUGAUGUUUUAAUUUAAUAAAAACCAUAAAUAAUAAAUAAUUUUAUUAUAAUAUUAUGAUUGUUUUUUGCAUAUGCUGUUUGAGAUUUAUUUUUUGAUUAAAAUUUGUUUUCACACAUAAGUUCAAGUUAAUAUUUGUAUUUUAUAAUCAUGUAGAUGAGUUAUUAUAAACUUUAUACUAAGGAUUAGAGAAAAUACUAUACAUAAACAGUUAAAAUGAACACAAUCCGAAAUAAGAAAUGAAAAGUAAAAGAAGUAAAAGUUAAAUACACCAAUCGAAUUAAUGACAACAUUAUACAUGUUCUUAUGUACUAAUUUAAUGUUUUACUAAAUAAUUCUUUAAAAUUUUAUUUUGCUAGGAUUUUUUUAAAAAGGAAAAUAUUCUAUUUUACAAAUCUCUUUUUUAUUUACAAUUAAAAAAAUAUUAAAUACUCUUUUACAAUUUUGUUUAAGAUAUUAGAAAAGGUAAAUUAGUAUCAUAGAACCUAUUACAAUUAUCUGCUCUUUAGAAUUUCAUAAGAAAUAUAUUGCUAACAAAUAAUUAUUUUUAUUUAUUAAUAAAUAUUUUUAAAAUUGCUAUUUUACAAUUCGUAUCAAUACUAAUUUUACACUUCUUUUGUUAAUUAAAUAAUUUUUGGUAUCAUGUCCAUCAUCAAACACUCUCUUAAAAUAAUAUCAAAUAAAAUUUUAAAAUUCUCUUUUGGUUAGGAAUUAAAAAUAUUAUACAAGUUUCUUUUGUUUAAGAUUUCUUUUAUAAAAAAGAAAACAACUAUCAAAUAUUCUGUUACAGUUUUGUAGGAUUUUAGAAAAGAAAAUUAAUAUUACAUAAUUUCUUACAAUUAUAUUUUUUUAGGAUUUAAAAAAUCAAUUUUUUAUCAAAUAACUAUUUCCAGUUAAUGUUAACUAUUUUUAAAAGUUACAAUUUUCAAUUAAAUUCAUUUUUGUUAAUAUCUUAGUAUAUAUAUUUUUAAUUAUGAGAUAUAUCAACACAUGUCACAAUCUUAAAAUAUAUAAUUGUUAUGUGUCGCGAUCAUGUUAAUUAGCAAUUUUGAAUAACCAAAUUUAUCUUUCAUCGAAACUCUCUCGAUGUGGAAACUUAUAUUAUUACAUACUCUUCAAAGAUUAAGGCACAUGGUCCACUAAUCUAUCCAUAAUAAUAAUAACAUGACCUAUUAAUUUACAUAAUCUCAAUACCUUAACUCGAAAUAAUAGACCUACUCACCAUUAAUCUCACCGACCAUCAUUUUCGGGGUCGGAGAGCGGAAUCCUCUUUUUGUCUCGGGUUAUAGAAGUGUAGAUAGAUGUACUAAACCUUUUCUUAGUAGUAAAGUCUAGAAGCUCUACUACUAUAUAGAAUAGGAUGUAAAGAGUGGCUUAUUUAUCAACCAAGAUAGAGUAUUUAUACAGCCUAAGUAACAUAAACAAACCAGAAACAUGAAUCUAGUAGAUUAGUCUAAGUUCUUAAGUUAUAUAAUUCUUACUUAUCAAAAAAGAAAGUUAUACAAUUCUAUCCUUCUCGUUAUACAUUUCAUUUGACAUUUUAAAACCCCCAAUUGUAAGCAUACUGUACCUGAUGAUCACACAUCCAUUAGUUAAUUGCAUUAUAAUGAGUUGAAGUUACUAAAACAUUAUCCCUAGGAAUUGAAAUAGCCAAGUCCCAACACAGGUUGAUUGUUCAAAAAAAAAUAUUUUUUAAAAAACAAAUAACAAAAUACCUGAAAAAUGAAAACAUAAACUCGACGAUGUAAUAAAAGGAGUUUCAGUUUGAAAAAUAAUAUAUGGGCUAGUCAAGUGACACAUACACAACCAAAUUACACAUGUCUCAAGUGACAUACACAGGCCCAUGAUGUAUACAUGUCCAGGUCAACAGAAACUAUGCGUCUAGCCUCGAACAAGCAUAUAUAUUAACCUAUAUUAUUUGUAAUAUUUAAUUUACAAGUUAAAAAACAUUUCAAAUUUAAGUAAACUAUCUUAAGGAUGGCUGAAACAUAUUCGUUAAGGCUACAUACAGUGUAGGUAGAAUUAUCUAGUCCUAGUCUCACAUAAGCAUCAAAGGGAAAUAUAAUAUUUGACAACUUUUGGAAAUAUUUUUUUCUUUUUUAAUUAUAAGAAAAAAAGGAAGUUUUCUUAAGAGAAAAUCUAAAAAUAUGAAGUUACAUUGAAAUGUAUCUGAAAUAAAAAUAUACAUAAUCUCUUAGUUGGCUAAUUACCUUCAAAUAAAACAAUUAUGGAAAAAAUCUUAUCCAGCAAAUUUUAUCAAACCUACAUAGAAAUUUUAUUUUCUAUUUUUUAAAAUUCAAUACUAUAUUAGUGUAUUGUAAAAUUUGGUUUUCAGUAAGAAUUUUGAAAAUAUUCUAGAAAUAUAUUUUCAUAGCUAUUUUAGACCUUUUUAGAUAAAUAUUAAAAUCCAAAACGUAAAUAAUUUUCAGAGAGGCAUCAAUGAAAGGAUAACAAGAUUGUAUAUAAAUUUUAAACCUCUAGAGUCCUCCAAAGACACUUCUGUGCUCUCAUUAACAAUCUUUAUCCCUCUUUUUAUCUUAUAGUUCAUUCUUUUGAUAUUUCAAUACUCCAAAAUCAAUGAGGGAUAAAUAUAUGCCUCCAAGGAAAACAGUUCGCAGAAGAUAUCCGUCACCUGAACCAUCUGGAGAGAGUUCAACAGAUGAUGAAACAAACGAAGUUGAGAGAAAAGUCCCCUUCAAUGUUGCUCUCAUGAGACCUCGGCCAUUUAACCCAUUUGAUGAGGAUGAUUCAACGGACAGUGAAGCAACGGACAGCGAAGUAACAGACAGUGAAGCAACGGACAGUGAAGCAACGGACAGUGAAGCAACGGACAGUGAAGCAACGGACAACGAAGAGAACGAAGUUGCGAGAGAAUCUCCCAAAGCUCCUCGCAUGAGAGUUAGGGCACGAGAACCAUCUGAUGAGGAUGAUUCAACGGACAGUGACGCAACAAGUCAAGAGGAGUUAAAAGUGAGUCCAAAGAAGAACAAUGAUGCAGUAAACGAGCCGCCGAACAAGAAGAGAAGACUGCAUAGGAGGAAGAUGUAUACCCCUCGAAGAUUUAUUUCCCCAGAGGCAGAAGUUAACCAGACUGAUGCAAAGCCGUGCAACAGUGGGGGAUCAAAGGAGAGCCAUUCUGAUUAACAUGUCGCCCCAGAAGAACCAUAACCAAGACGAAUCAGAAACAAUGGAUUAUCCAAUAUCUAUGUUCUUAUCUUUUAUUUUAUGGACUAUAUUUCAUAAUUUGAAUUUUUCUUUUAAGUUAUCUACAUGCUGAGAUCUAAUAAAGUUUUUCAUUUCAACCUCAAACGUCUUGAUUGAAUCUGAAAAAUAUUGUUUGGGUGUAAUAUCUCAUCUUCAAACCACAAAAUCAGCCCAUGUGUUGUUCCUUCCUUUUCUGUCUUCUAAAAAACCAAGAUCAACACUAACCAAACAUGUGAUUGAAAAAACCCCAACCCCUAUCCAAAUCUUCCGAUCAACACCAAUGUUUUUGUUUUACACAACCUAAAAACUGUUAAAAUUUUCUUAUCUUUAAGAGAGUUUUUAGUUCUCCUAACUCACCAACUCUCACGAACCCUAAAGAGUAGAAAAUCUCUUGAACCUUCAAUCUUAAUAAAAUCAAUUGAAGUAUCUGUGUCGUUUUUUUUUACUUUAAAAGUUUCAGGGUUUGCCUUUUCAUAAUCAAACUACAUAUUGACACUUAAAACCCCCUAAUUUUAAGCAUAUUGUACCUGGAUGAUCACACAUGCAGGGGCGGUUCUAGAAUUUAUUUUCAUCCAGGGCAGCAAGGCAUAAGACAACACAUCAUAAGGGGCAACAUAAAAAUUCUUUGAACAAUUACACUAUUUUCACAAAAUCAUGAGAGGGGGAGGGGGAGAGGGGGAGAGGCAGUGCUGCCCUACCCAAAACGUAUAUAGAUUCGCCCCUGCACGCAUGCAUUAGUUAAUUGCACUAUAAUGAUUUGCAGUUACCAAUAAAAUUCUCCCUAGGAAUUGAAAUAGCACAGGUUGAUUGUUCAGCAAAAUUAUUUUUUAAAAACAAAUACAAAAAACACCUGAAGCUUGAAAACAUAAACCGGAGAAUGUAAUAAAAGGAAUCUCUGUUUGAAAAACAAUAUAUGGGCCAGUCAAGUGAUAUACACAAAACCAAAUUACAUAUGUUUCAAGUGACAUACACAGGUCCAUGAUAUACACAUGUCCAGUUAGGGGUGAGCGUUCGGGUACCCAUUCGGGUUCGGUUUGGAUUUAUUUGGGUUUUAGGUUUUCAGGGUUAAAGAUUUCAGCCACAUUCAAAUAUUUCUAAAUUUUGGUUCGGGUUCGGUUCAAUGCGGGUUCGGAUAACCCAUUUAAAUGAUUUUAAAAAUUUUAAAAUUCAGUAUAUAGUUUAAAUUUCUCAAAAUCUGUAAAUAAAAUAAUAUAUUACAUAUAAAUUUGAAUAACAUAUGUUAGAAUACCUAAACUUAACAUUUUGAUAGAGAAUCAGUUGAUUUCAAAUAUUUUUGGUGUUUUGAGUAUAUUUUAUCUAUUUUAGACAUUUACUUUUGACUAUUUGUAUAUAUUUUCAAGUAUUUUAGAUAACUUAAAAGUAUCUUAUAUAUUUUGAAUAUUUUUAAUAUACAUUAAAUCUAAAAAUAAUUAAUAUAUUUAGAUAUAUACAUCUAUUUCGAAUACAUUCGGGUACCCGAAAUACUUUGGUUAGGGUGGGGUCUGGUUUCCAUUCUCUGGAUACCAAAAUUUUGAAUCUGUUUGGAUAUUUAAUCAAUUUCGGUUCCGGUUCGAUAUUACUUUUUCGGAUCGGAUUCGGUUCGAUUCUUCAGAUUCGGGUUUUUUGCCCAGCCCUAUGUCCAGUUCAACAGAAACUAUGUGUCUAGCCUUGAAGCAUAGAUAUUAUUUGUAUAUUUAAUUACAAGUUAAAAAAACAAUUCAAAUUUAAUUAAAAUAUCUUAAGGAUGGCUGAAACUUAUUCGUUUAGGCUACAUACAGUGUAAGUAAAAAUUAUCUAGUCAUAGUCUCACAUAAGCAUCAAAGGGAAAUAUAAAAUUUGACAAUUUUUGGAAAUAUAUUUUUCUUUUUUAGUUAUUAGAACAAAAGGAAGUUUUCUUUAUGUAAAAUCUAAAAUUAUGAAUUUACAUUGAAAUGUAUCUGAAAUAACAAGAUACGUAAUAUCUUACUUGUUUAGCUAUCUUCAAAUAAAACAAUUAUGGAAAAAAUCAUAUCCAGCAAAUUUUAUCAAACAUAUAUAGAAUUAAUACUGUAUUUAUUUACUGUAAAAUUGUGUGUUUUAGUAAUAAAUUUGAAAAUCUAGAAAUAUAUUUUCAUAGCUAUUUUAGAUCAUUUUAGAUAAAUAUUAAAAUCUAAAAUCGUUAAUAAUUUUCAAAGAGAUGUUGGAGAAAGAUUACACCCCUCAACAAGGCUCUUCAAAUACAAAUUUUGGCCUAAUUUGAACAUGCAAAUCAGGGAGAACUCGGCCCUAUACAAUCCGGCCCACUACAUUCGGCCCAACCGGAUUAGGUCAGCGCAAAGUGAGGGCUUAGAAGCGCCGAGUAUAAAGGAAAAAGGAAAGCACAAGAAGAAGAGACAUUCAGAAGCCAGACAAAACUAGAACGGCUAGAAAUAUGGUUUAUCAUCUUUAAUCCUUUAUUCUAGCCAGAAACAUUUUCUUUUAUCUUAAUCAUUACCAAAACUCUCUUGUAAUCUCCGACCAGAUUGUUUAACAAAACGUCUUUCAAAUAACUCACCACCUUGUUCGCUCACUCUCUAAUUACACACCGAACACUGAUUAAACAAGAGACAUCAAUGAAAGUAUAACAAGAUUUUAUAUAAAUUUACUCCAAGAUCAAUGAGUGAUAAAUAUAAGCUUCCAAGGAAAACACUUCGCAGAAGAUCUCUGUCACCUGAGCUCUCUGGAGAGAGUUCAACAGAUGAUGAAGCAAACAAAGUUGAGAGAAAAGUCCCCUACAAAGCUCUUCUCAUAAGACCUCGGCCAUUUGAACCAUUUGAUGAGGAUGAUUCAACGGCCAGUGAUGCAACGGACAGUGAUGCAACGGACAGUGAUGUAACAAGUCCAGAGGGGUUGAAAGUGAGUCCAAAGAAGAGCAAUGAUUCAAUAAACGAGCCGUCAAACAAGAAGAGAAGACUGCAUAGGAAGAAGAUGUAUACCCCUCGAAAAUUUAUUUCCCCAGAGGCAGAAGUUAACCAGACUGAUGCAAAUCCGUGCAACAGUGGGAGAUCAGAGAAGGCCCUUUCUGAUCAACGUGUCACCCGAGAAGAACCAUAAACAAGACGAAUCAGAAUCAAUGGCUUAUCCAAUAUCUAUGUUCUUAUCUUUUAUUUUAUGGACUUUAUUUCGUAAUUUGAAUUUUGCUUUUAGCUUAUCUGCAUGCUGAGGUAUAAUAAAGUUUUUCAUUUCAACC